AUUGAACGCUGGCGGCAGGCCUAACACAUGCAAGUCGAGCGCCCCGCAAGGGGAGCGGCGGACGGGUGAGUAACGCGUGGGAAUUUUCCUCAAGGUACGGAACCACUCAGGGAAACUUGGGCUAAUACCGUAUGCUGUCUAGCGACCAAAGAUUUAUCGCCUGGGGAUAAGCCCGCGUCAGAUUAGGUAGUUGGUGGGGUAACGGCCUACCAAGCCUGCGAUCUGUAGCUGGUCUGAGAGGACGAUCAGCCACAUUGGGACUGAGACACGGCCCAAACUCCCACGGGAGGCAGCAGUGGGGAAUCUUGCGCAAUGGGCGAAAGCCUGACGCAGCCAUGCCGCGUGAAUGAUGAAGGUCUUAGGAUUGUAAAGUUCUUUCGCUCGUGACGAUGAUGACGGUAACGAGAGAAGAAGCCCCGGCUAACUUCGUGCCAGCAGCCGCGGUAA
rnacentral:rRNA from 1 species